AUUGAACGCUGGCGGCAGGCCUAACACAUGCAAGUCGAGCGAGCGGCGGACGGGUGAGUAAUGUCUGGGAAACUGCAUGAUGGAUGGGGAUAACUACUGGAAACGGUAGCUAAUACCGCAUACCAUCAGUAGUGACCAGAUGGGAUGAGCUAGUGGGGGGGGUAACGGCUCACCUAGUCGACGAUACCUAGCUGGUCUGAGAGGAUGACCAGCCACACUGGAACUGAGACACGGUCCAGACUCCUACGGGAGGCAGCAGUGGGGAAUAUUGAACAAUGGGCGCAAGCCUGAUGCAGCCAUGCCGCGUGUGUGAAGAAGGCCUUCGGGUUGUAAAGCACUUUCAGCGGGGAGGCGUUACCCGCAGAAGAAGCACCGGCUAACUCCGUGCCAGCAGCCGCGGUAAUAC
rnacentral:rRNA from 1 species